rnacentral:rRNA from 1 species
GCCUUAGGGUUGUAAACCGCUUUUAUCAGGGAAGAACACAAUGACGGUACCUGAUGAAUAAGCCUCGGCUAAUUCCGUGCCAGCAGCCGCGGUAAUACGGGAGAGGCGAGCGUUAUCCGGAAUUAUUGGGCGUAAAGCGUCCGCAGGUGGCCAAUUAAGUCUGUCGUUAAAUCGUGGAGCUCAACUCCAUACAAGCGAUGGAAACUGAUUGGCUAGAGUACGGUAGGGGUAGCGGGAAUUCCAGGUGUAGCGGUGAAAUGCGUAGAUAUCUGGAAGAACACCAGCGACGAAAGUGCGCUACUGGGCCUGUACUGACACUCAUGGACGAAAGCCAGGGGAGCGAAAGGGAUUAGAUACCCCUGUAGUCCUGGCCGUAAACGAUGAACACUAGGUGUUGCGCGAAUCGACCCGUGCAGUGCCGUAGCCAACGCGUUAAGUGUUCCGCCUGGGGAGUACGCACGCAAGUGUGAAACUCAAAGGAAUUGACGGGGGCCCGCACAAGCAGUGGAGUAUGUGGUUUAAUUCGAUGCAACGCGAAGAACCUUACCAAGGCUUGACAUCCCCCGAAUCUCUGGGAAAC